rnacentral:rRNA from 1 species
GAUGAACGCUGGCGGCGUGCCUAAUACAUGCAAGUCGAGCGAACGGACGAGAAGCUUGCUUCUCUGAUGUUAGCGGCGGACGGGUGAGUAACACGUGGAUAACCUACCCAUAAGACUGGGAUAACUUCGGGAAACCGUAGCUAAUACCGGAUAAUAUUUUGAACCGCAUGGUUCAAAAGUGAAAGACGGUCUUGCUGUCACUUAUAGAUGGAUCCGCGCUGCAUUAGCUAGUUGGUAAGGUAACGGCUUACCAAGGCAACGAUGCAUAGCCGACCUGAGAGGGUGAUCGGCCACACUGGAACUGAGACACGGUCCAGACUCCUACGGGAGGCAGCAGUAGGGAAUCUUCCGCGAUGGGCGAAAGCCUGACGGAGCAACGCCGCGUGAGUGAUGAAGGUCUUCGGAUCGUAAAACUCUGUUAUUAGGGAAGAACAUAUGUGUAAGUAACUGUGCACAUCUUGACGGUACCUAAUCAGAAAGCCACGGCUAACUACGUG